CAAAGCCUGUUUUUCACAAGAAGGUAUACUUUAACAUCCAACAUGUUCAACAUUUUUUCCUUUCUGAACAUAUUGAUUUUUAUCUCAGAAAAGCCAAAUAAUUGCUAUAGCAAUCUCUCUGUUCACUAUAAAGAUGUAGAAGGUUUGAGGCCUGGUCAGUAAAUGUUAUGUAAUUUUCUAAACAGGCCAAAACUACUAAGAAG
rnacentral:misc_RNA from 1 species